rnacentral:tRNA from 2 species
GGGCGUGUAGUUCAGUGGUGGAACACUACGUUGACAUCGUAGGGGUCGCAAGUUCGAUUCUUGCCACGCCCACCA